rnacentral:lncRNA from 1 species
GUCUUUAUUUUUUUCUUAAACUAAAUAAACUUAACAGAAUGCAAUUUCAAUCACAUAUAUUAAGAAGAAAAUGAUAAUUUAACUAAUUUUUAACAGAUUUACAUGAUGAUAACACUAAUAUAACAUUCAUCUUGAAACAAAAUCAGAUCUAACAUGUUCCAUCAACCAAACCGGGAUCAAAUCCUUCUUAUUAUCAUCAAGAAUCUGCAAUAUAAGAAUUUAAAAGUUACCUGGUUUGUAGAAUAAUAAAGUACAAUAGUGCAUCAACAAAAAAUUCAGCAACAAAUACAGUAGAAACAACAGCAACUCAAGUGUUAAGACAACCCAGAAAACUCAACAAAGAUACUUGAAACUGGUAGCUAUCAACUUCACAAAUUACCUAAGGGAUCUUUCUAUUUUUCUCAAAGUUUUUUGCACUCAAAUAAUACUCACAAAACUCUGAAAUUUCAACUUGCUAUAUGAAUUAAGCUGCUGAUUUUUCUCAAAGAUAUAUGUCUUUAAGCAACUCUCCAAGAUGUGUCAGUGUAAGAUCGACUGUGUGCCCUUUUUAUAGGAGAAGAGAAGCCCUUUAAAUAGGCAAAUAAAUCAGAAUUUUUGGACAGAUUUUGGUUCACUAAAAGUCUGUCCAAAAAACUGAUUUUGUGUGCUAAACACUGUUCAAAAGUUGUCAAAAAGUAUUGUAUUUGUCACCACUCACCACACAAUAAUUUUUGAGUUUUGUACUCCAAAGUCUUUGCACAGUAAAAACAACCAAACUUGUACUAUUCCUUCUUUAAUUUCAGCUUUUAUCAAUACAAAAUUCAAAUACUCAAAUACAAUAAAAAUAAAUUUGCUAAGCACUUUAAACUUUUAUCAUAAACUAUCAUGACUAAGCGAAUACAACAACAACAAUAACCCAGUAUAAUCCCACUAGUGGGGUCUGGGGAGGGUAGUGUGUACGCAGACCUUACCCCUACCCUGGGGUAGAGAGGCUGUUUCCAAUAGACCCUCGGCAUCCUUCCCUCCAAGAACUCCCACCUUGCUCUUGGGGUGACUAAGCGAAUAGCUAUUUCAAAACUAAUUAAUAACUAAUUAUCAGUGAUUAAUAAAUAUGAAUGACUAAGCUAACAUAGAUUAAACACAACUAAUAAUAAAAAUAUAAAUAAUAUAAAUAAUAAUAAAAAAUCAUAAAUUAUGCUAGACAUAAACUAAAUACAAUACAAUUAGAAAAAAUAGAUAAAGGAAACGAGAAUAUGGGUAUACCAAACGGGGGCGUUCGGGGUGGUCGCCGGAAUUUGGCCGGAUUUUUAGUUGCCAGAUUUUCGGAAUGGAAUUGAUAUCAAUAGGUAGGUCUUGAUGAGCUCUAUCCGUUGGUAUAGGUAUUGUGGGGGUGGUAGUGGCCGGAACUUCAAGAUUUUGGGCAAAAAAAGUGGCGGCUAAAGUUUCCUAGAUCUAAAAUUCAAGGAGUUUGAAGGGGUUUUGAAGGAUUUGGUUUGGAGAUAUGGAAAGAAGAGGUUGUGGAGAUUACAUGGUGUGAAUUUGAGAGUAUUUGGAGGUUAGCCGCCGCCGGUGGGCGAUUUCCGUCGGACGGCAGCGGUGGUGGGGGCGGAUAUGGGAGAGAGAAGAGAGAGGAAGAAGAAAAGAAUUAUGGGAGAAAUGAGGGCAUUUUUCAGAUUUUU